AAGACCUUGCACUUUUGGAGCGGCCGAMGUCUGAUUAGCUAGUUGGUGGGGUAAUGGCCUACCAAAGCUUCGAUCAGUAGCUGGUCUGAGAGGACGGCCAGCCACACUGGGACUGAGACACGGCCCAGACUCCUACGGGAGGCAGCAGUGGGGAAUUUUGGACAAUGGGCGCAAGCCUGAUCCAGCCAUGCCGCGUGAGUGAAGAAGGCCUUCGGGUUGUAAAGCUCUUUCAGCCGGGAAGAAAAGGUUGCGAUUAAUAAUCGCAAUUUAUGACGGUACCGGAAGAAGAAGCACCGGCUAACUACGUGCCAGCAGCCGCGGUAAUACGUAGGGUGCGAGCGUUAAUCGGAAUUACUGGGCGUAAAGGGUGCGCAGGCGGUUUUGUAAGUCAGAUGUGAAAUCCCCGGGCUUAACCUGGGAACU
rnacentral:rRNA from 1 species